CUUCCUGUUCCGGUUGCCGCGGAGAUUCGGUUGCCUAGCAAGAGGCGAGGUUUCGGCAUUCACUUAUUUUAGAUGGUGGGUCCCCUGGAAGGAAUGUAUUGCUGCCGCAAGCUUCUAAGAUGUUUCCAUCCCGGCCUGCUGUGGGCAGUCCCUGUUAUGGUAUGUUGUCCCCGACACAUUAUAAAUCGUAAAUUCUUUUAUCAGCUAGACUAAGAACCUGCAAAAAGGAACCCUGAUACCUAGUAAUAUGUCUUGCUCAAAUCUUUGGGAUACAAUCUGGAUGUCACAUGAAGGACAACUCAAGACCCCCGUCCAGUUAUAUCAACCUUUUAUUAUACUUACUGACUUUUGCACAGAGUAUCGUGAUGAAAACCCAAAAAGUGGUAUUUGAAACGAAGACAUUGACAUUAUUUAAGUAAUAGUAGCACAAGAUAAUGUAUUAUCAGUUCUGGAUUUUUUUUUUGAGUGGGAGGGGAGGUUGAGAUAGCCCAGGUCUAUAGCCCUAGAACUGGCCUCAAACUCCCAGAGAUCCACCUGCCUCUGCCUCCCAAGUGCUGGGAUUAAAGGCUUGCACUGCCACUGCCCGGCUUCUUUGGCCUUUUUAUACCUUCUUAGACAAAAGUUACUAGAAAAUUACCUAAGAAAGAAAUGUUACAUAAAAUGGGAGUUACAGAAGGAUGUUGAUAUUAAGUUCAAAGCAGCGUUUCAUUCUAUAUGCUCAUUAUACAUUUAAAGCAACAGUUUCACAUGGCCUUGCCUUAUCAUAGUGCACACCUGUAGCUUUAUCCAUGGACCUAAAUAUUUUUCCUUGAACAUAAAUUUGUCCCAAGACUAUUCCUCUUUUUAGUGUAAUUAUGAAAGCUCACUAUUUCUUAUGUAGACUUUACUUGCUAUUAUGAGGAACUGGCACAUUCUAUUCUUGAUUCUAACUUUAUUACAUCUUUCUAGCAAAGCAACUAAGUCCAUUUCUAAAAACUUUCUUUCUAGAAUUAAUCAAAUCAAGAAUUCUAUAAAAUCAUUCAUUCAUCUAAACAGCAUUAAUUCAUGAAAGUUCAUCUUUGUGUUGAUCUGCAGAAAAUCUGGUCAAUAGGGUGGGCUAAUGCCCAGGAACUAUUAUAUUAAUAAUGAAAGGAAAGGCAUAUCAGUUGCAGGAAGCAAUCCUCUGGUGAAGUCCCUUUGGGACCCGUACCUCACAGAGCUCACCCACCGCAGACGUGCAGAAGCAGCAGGUCACCUCCAGGAAGGCAACCUUAGCCUAUCCUAGGUGGCUCCUGACACCCAACCCUACAGCUCAUUUUGCAGACAAAGACCAAGAGGUGUCCUAGUUCAUGUCCAUAAAAAAAUGACCAGAAAGCUAGAAGUAAGGUCCACCUAUGCAGUGGUAAGACUUCCUAACAUUUUAAAGAGCAUACAUUUUUUUUUAGGGUUUUUUUUUUUUUUGAAACUGGACUUUUUGAAAUAGUAACACAGUUACUAUUUUGUUGCCGUGAUAAAAUAUCAUGACCAGGUCAUCUUAUUUGUGGGAGGAGGUAUUUGGGCUUACAGUUCCAUAGGAAUAAAAAUCCAUCCUGGUGGAGAAGCAUGGUACCAAGCAGCAGCGAGAAGCUACGAUUUCACACCCUCAGCUACAAGCAUGAGUCAAGAGAGUGAGCGGGAAGCAUGCGAUACCUCCAGUGGUACACUUCUACCAGCAAGGCUAGUCCACCUAAACCUCACCAGCAGCACGGCCGACUGGGACGCUCUCCUCAAUCACAGCACAGUACUCAUUAGUACUAUACAGUGUGUCUAUGCAGGAGGCGAUUUUCUCCUGUUAGUUUCUUUUAAUAAACAAAGCCUUGGAUUCUCCUGCAUCAACAGGUACAAAUAUGCUAGCCAAGCAGAACACACAGGUAUUUUGAUUGAUAACUUACAUCUAAAAUGUACAUAGUAAGUUCAUUGCUUAGGAGAGCAACCCGAGCCUCUUUCCAAGCCAGGCAUAGCAGCUUAUAUGUGCACUCUUCCUGCAGGAAGAAGAUGAGGACUAUUAGCUACAUCUCUGUGGAGCUCAUUUCGUUUACAUAUGUAUGUUACUUCCAAAUUUGCAUUUUCAAUGACAAAAUUGCCAAAUCCAGAACAGUUGUCCUACGAAAGGUGCUUUGAACCAUCUUAAAGCUAUAAUGCCAUUUCGCCAGCAGAUGGCGCUUCGUAGGUUAGGGUAGGGAUGCAGUGGGAGGGGAGAAGUUUUUAAACCUGCUCUGAAAAUAUAAAAUGCAUUUAAUGGAAGGAAAAAUGAUAAUUAUAAUCUCAAAAAAUUAAAAAAAACAUGCAAUUAGUGUUAAAGGUAAAAUACAACCAUUAUUUGUAACAAGUCACUACAAAUAAAGCAAAUAAAAGAUAAAACCUAGGUCGUAAAAAAAUGUAAGCAGUUUGUAUGAAUGAAUAAACAAUUAAAC
ensembl:lincRNA Gm26606 predicted gene, 26606